rnacentral:tRNA from 1 species
GCUCGCGUAGCUCAGUGGUAGAGCACUCCCUUGGUAAGGGAGAGGUCAUGAGUUCAAUCCUCAUCGUGAGCUCCA